rnacentral:misc_RNA from 1 species
GAUGAAGAACGCAGCGAAAUGCGAUACUUGGUGUGAAUUGCAGAAUCCCGUGAACCAUCGAGUCUUUGAACGCAAGUUGCGCCCGAAGCCAUUAGGCCGAGGGCACGCCUGCCUGGGCGUCACACGUCGUUGCCCCCCCCAUCUACUCCUUCGGGAUUGCGGGGGGCGGAUGAUGGCCUCCCGUGCGCCUCGUCGCGCGGUUGGCAUAAAUGCCAAGUCCUCGGCGACGCACGCCACGACAAUCGGUGGUUGCGAAACCUCGGUUGCCCGUCGUGUGCGGUCGUCGCGCAUCGAGGGCUCGAAAAAAUUGCCGGGCUCCGGCUCGGCUUUCAACGCGACCCCAGGUCAGGCGGGGUUACCCGUUGAAUUUAAGCAUAUCAAUAAGCGGAGGA